AGAGUUUGAUCAUGGCUCAGAUUGAACGCUGGCGGCAUGCCUUACACAUGCAAGUCGAACGGCAGCACGGGUGCUUGCACCUGGUGGCGAGUGGCGAACGGGUGAGUAAUGUAUCGGAACGUGCCCUAGAGUGGGGGAUAACGUAGCGAAAGUUACGCUAAUACCGCAUACGAUCUACGGAUGAAAGUGGGGGAUCGCAAGACCUCAUGCUCAUGGAGCGGCCGAUAUCUGAUUAGCUAGUUGGUAGGGUAAAGGCCUACCAAGGCGACGAUCAGUAGCUGGUCUGAGAGGACGACCAGCCACACUGGGACUGAGACACGGCCCAGACUCCUACGGGAGGCAGCAGUGGGGAAUUUUGGACAAUGGGGGAAACCCUGAUCCAGCAAUGCCGCGUGUGUGAAGAAGGCCUUCGGGUUGUAAAGCACUUUUGUCAGGAACGAAACGGUGGAGGCUAAUACCUUCUGCUAAUGACGGUACCUGAAGAAUAAGCACCGGCUAACUACGUGCCAGCAGCCGCGGUAAUACGUAGGGUGCAAGCGUUAAUCGGAAUUACUGGGCGUAAAGCGUGCGCAGGCGGUUGUGCAAGACAGAUGUGAAAUCCCCGGGCUUAACCUGGGAAUUGCAUUUGUGACUGCACGGCUAGAGUGUGUCAGAGGGGGGUAGAAUUCCACGUGUAGCAGUGAAAUGCGUAGAUAUGUGG
rnacentral:rRNA from 1 species